UAAAUAAAGGCAACAGUAGUAUACCGAUGUUCAAACUCAUAAAUCCAUGGACAAAAAACAAAAUCGGGGUAACAAACUAAAACUGAGGGAAACGCAUUAAAUAUAAGAGGAGAACAACGACACAACACUACAAUGUAACACACAGAGAAACGGACCAAGCAACAGACAAAAUCCCACGAGAAUAACAAAUAUAACAUCAAAACCAAAUACAUGAAUUUGGGAUAGACAAGUACCGUGACACGUCUUAUCGCAAUGUGAAUUUACACUAAAAAAUA
rnacentral:lncRNA from 1 species